GUAUUUAGUUAAGCAUUUGUUUCGAAGAGGGUGACAAGUCAAAUAAAACAAAUGUUUUUUUUAAUGAGAAUAAAACGAAUGCUUGAUAGUUCUAUUUAAUAAAAAUAUUGGGAUCUUCUUUGAUAAGUUAAUACUAAAACAAUUUAAAUUGAUAACAAUCUCCUCUCUCCCUCGUAUCUUUCGUAAAAGUAUACCAUGUCGAUCACUACCAGUCUACCAGUCCAUUGUUUGGCAUCACUGCCACGUAACUUUAUAACAGUACCCUGAAUUUAACACCAUCACCACGCAAAUUAUAGUCCUUAUGAUUAAGACAUUAAUUCAGCCAACAGCCAACUAUAGGACUAAGUCUUCCAUUGAUCUCCUGCUCACUCACUAUCUCAUUGUGGUCCAAUGUUAAUUUGGUUUCAGUCAUAAGAGCAUCAACUGGAGCAAAAAUCUCAAGAGAUUGCUGAAGCAAGAUUGGAAAUUUGAGGGGAAAGUAACAGAGAUAUUUUUCUUUUUUUCAGUACUAGUGCCUUGUGAGUUGUGAUGUGAACGUCGCACGUUAAUGUUUUGUGGCUAUGGACUUACAGUUAAUAAAAUGUUUCUUAAAGCUUACAGUUUUUUAGAACUAGCUUUUUAUGCACGCGAUGCGUGCGAUGAUAUUUUUAAUACCCCUUCUAAACUACAUCGCUAAAACUCUCAUAAGCACUGGUCUCAUAAUAGAUGAAUUUCCUUCCUUGUUGAACACCAAGUUUGCUAGUGAAAUUAGAGUUGCAUUCACUUCACACUUAUCUAAUCAGGCUUACUUGUUCAAAGAAAAUUUUGAUGCACCCCUCCCCAUCUAAUAAGCAAUGCGUGGAACAACAUUUAGCCAACCACCCACCUAAUACCAUGAUUCAUGCGUGGCUUUCUCUCUCUCCACACUCUUCCAUUUUUCUCCCUUCUGGUCUUCAUCUUCAAGAGACAUUUACUCCAAUUUUCACCUUUCAUCUUCAACAUUAAGUUUCAAUUCCCAAAUCAACUUUUACCCAUGUACACCAAAUUUAAACUUUCAUUACUUAUCUCUCCUAAAAUUCCCAUAAAAUCAAAAAGAUGAAAAAAAAACCUAAUCUCCUUUUCUAAAUAUUAACACUAAAUACUCCGUAUACAUAUUUCAACUGUGUUUAAUUUGCGAACAACAUCAAAGAAAUACAUGCAACAAUAGAUUUUCAAAUCAACAUCAAAGAACAACAUAAAAAAUCAGGCACUUCAAGUCUUAAGCAGCAGUAGAUCUAAUUGGGUCGAUUUUCUAACAAAGAAAGGUUAAAAGAAUUAUGUACCUUUUUGGAAGUUCGCAAAUUGCCGAUGGAUGAAUGUGUGAUAUCGCCAUCAAAAUCUUAUGUUUUUCUCAGAUUUGUGUUUAUAGGUAACUUUUGUAAGUAUGUAAUUGUGAAUGGUUCUUGAGAAUAGUGAUUUGUAAGUAAAUUUUUGUAAAUGUCUUUGUAUGUAUUGACGUUCUAGGUUAUUAGUUUUAGUUUGUAUGUUAAUUUUAUGUUUUAAUAAAGUUUCCUGAUUAUUUGA